GACGAACGCUGGCGGCGUGGAUUAGGCAUGCAAGUCGGACGGUAGGGCUUUAUCGUAAGAUAGAGUUUGAGAGUGGCGAACGGGUGAGUAACACGUAGGAAUCUACCCUUAAGACGGGGACAACCCAGGGAAACUUGGGCUAAUACCGGAUGAGAGUGCGAGAGAUUGCAUUUAAAAGGAUGGCGAAAGUUAUCGCUUAGGGAUGAGCCUGCGGUCUAUUAGUUAGUUGGUGGGGUAAGAGCUCACCAAGGCGAUGAUAGAUAGGCGGCCUUAACGGGUGGUCGCCCACACUGGGAUUGAGAUACGGCCCAGACUCCUACGGGAGGCAGCAGUCGAGAAUAGUCUACAAUGGCCGGAAGGCUGAUAGUGCGACGCCGCGUGAACGAGGGAGCCCUUCGGGUGUAAAGUUCUUUUCUUAUACGAGCAGUGCUAUAUAUAUGGAUAGUAUAUAUAGAGGGAUAGUAGUAUAGGAAUAAGCAACGGCUAACUACCGUGCCAGCAGCCGCGGUAAAC
rnacentral:rRNA from 1 species